CGCAACGUAGCUUAGUGGUUGAGUGCCCGCUCCUCCACACGGGAGACCUGGGUUCGAACCCCCCUGGCGC
rnacentral:tRNA from 1 species